AUUGAACGCUGGCGGCAUGCUUUACACAUGCAAGUCGAACGGUAACAGGCCUUCGGGUGCUGACGAGUGGCGAACGGGUGAGUAAUGCAUCGGAACGUACCCAGAGGUGGGGGAUAACGCAGCGAAAGCUGUGCUAAUACCGCAUGUGAUCUGAGGAUGAAAGCGGGGGACCGAGCAGCAAUGUUUGGCCUCGCGCCUUUGGAGCGGCCGAUGUCGGAUUAGCUAGUUGGUGGGGUAAAGGCCUACCAAGGCGACGAUCCGUAGCUGGUCUGAGAGGACGACCAACCACACUGGGACUGGGACACGGCCCAGACUCCUACGGGGGGGCGCAGUGGGGAAUUUUGGACAAUGGGGGCAAGCCUGAUCCAGCAAUGCCGCGUGCGGGAAGGAGGCCUUCGGGUUGUAAACCGCUUUUGGCAGGAACGAAACGGUGUCCGCUAAUACCGGGCGCUAAUGACGGUACCUGCAGAAUAAGCACCGGCUAACUACGUG
rnacentral:rRNA from 1 species